rnacentral:rRNA from 1 species
UACGGGGGGAGCAAGCGUUGUUCGGAUUUACUGGGCGUAAAGGGCGCGUAGGCGGUCAGCACAAGUCAGUUGUGAAAUCUCCGGGCUUAACCCGGAACGGUCAAGUGAUACUGUCGGGCUAGAGUGCAGAAGGGGCAACUGGAAUUCUCGGUGUAGCGGUGAAAUGCGUAGAUAUCGAGAGGAACACCUGCGGCGAAGGCGGGUUGCUGGGCUGACACUGACGCUGAGGCGCGAAAGCCAGGGGAGCGAACGGG